UGGUUCUUUAUAAUAAUUAAAGGACUUUAGGGCUUUUGUGCCCUCAUAUUUUGCCCGAUCGAUCAAAAGAAAGAAUCAGAUGUAAGGUAGGAGCGCAAACGACACAGGUGGCUCGGUGGAGGAAGUCCAUCGUGAAGAGGAGGGAGAAGGGGUAGCCUAUCUCCGGCAAACCUUCCCAAGGCUAUUUCUCGUCGCCGACAGCAGGAAAACGAAUGGGCAACAACAGCAGCAACUGGCGGUGGUGGAGCAGGUGUCGAGUUAGCUAUUCGGUAGAUGAUGAGGAGGAACACCACCAGUGCUAGGCCGAUCGAAGGAGGCAGAAAGAGAGGGGUAGCAGCAAAGCCGUUGCCGGCAGUUUAUGGCAGCGAGGCUGCUCCGGCGACUCUUGGUUGUCCCUUCUUUGGUCCGACAGCAAAAGCAAAAGGGAAGGGAGAAACUAGCAGCAACUGUGACGAUUUCAGGGGGUAUUUGGCUUGCUCCGAUCAGCAGCAAAGAGGCUGCUACCUCUUUGAUUUCACAGAAAGAAAAAUACAUUUUGUGGGUUGAUCUUUGUUGUUUCAAUCGACAGGUAUUGCACAAGGAAUGAGUAAGGAAAAGAACCAAAAGAAGAGGUUGAUGCCUCUUGUUGUUUCUUGGCAGGAAACAAUGAAGAUGAAGGGAAAGAGGUUAUUGGUUUUUCUGUUCUUGGCAUCCUCUUUUGAGUAUGAAGAGAAAGUAUAGUCUUCUAUAGUCUUCUGUAUUUUUUUGGGUUUAAUUGUUUGUUAAAGAGUGCAAGUUAAGUCAGAGUGGCCAGACACUCCUCCAAAAUUUCAAUCUUAUAUGUCCUUUUGAUUAGAUGUGUAAGCAAUAGUCUAGACUUUUAAGUAUAUGUGUGCUGUCAAACUAGAGAAGAGAGAAGAGUAGCUUCCAAGAGAAGCAUGAUUGAACCUCCAAACAAAAGUCUUUCUUUGACUUUUAAUAGAUAUUUUAAGAAAUAAAUAUGUAUAAGAUAUUUUGUGGUAUAAA